AAAUUUAAAUGCAGAUACAGAACUAGAAAGAAUAAAAGGCAAAAGUCAUCUUUCACUUCUCUCUCCAUAGAUAACUGCUGGUGACAUUCUGGAAGGUGUUUCUGCAUGGCUUCCGUUUGUCCUUCUAAUCUGUUCCCCACCCUUCUCCACCCUAGGCUACCCUGCAGCUGGGAGGCUGACCCACACCAGACUGCAUGAAUGACCCCUUGCUCUCUGGCCUCUCGCUGGCCUUGGCCACAGGGAGACACUAGCGGGAGAUGGGAGGUGGAGAGGAGUGAUGUCAAGAGACUGAUGCUCUCCGGUUCUGUUGUGCCUGGACCAAGUGAUCUCUCAGUCACUGCAAGUGCUGAGAGUACUCCCUUCCUUUCAUUCUACGUGAUGGAGAGUCUUCUAAAAGCUGUGUGCACAUCACCAUCAUGGAAUGGGGAUUAUACGGUUUCCUGAUGCUGACACAGCAUACAGAUAUAUUCAGGUGUGCUGCUUAAAAAGGAAAUUAAAGAGCCAUGUGAGCCAAA